rnacentral:rRNA from 1 species
AUUGAACGCUGGCGGCAGGCUUAACACAUGCAAGUCGUGCGGGGUGAUGGUGCUUGCACUAUCACUUAGCGGCGGACGGGUGAGUAAUGCUUAGGAAUCUGCCUAUUAGUGGGGGACAACAUCUCGAAAGGGAUGCUAAUACCGCAUACGUCCUACGGGAGAAAGCAGGGGAUCACUUGUGACCUUGCGCUAAUAGAUGAGCCUAAGUCGGAUUAGCUAGUUGGGGGGGUAAAGGCCUACCAAGGCGACGAUCUGUAGCGGGUCUGAGAGGAUGAUCCGCCACACUGGGACUGAGACACGGCCCAGACUCCUACGGGAGGCAGCAGUGGGGAAUAUUGGACAAUGGGGGGAACCCUGAUCCAGCCAUGCCGCGUGUGUGAAGAAGGCCUUAUGGUUGUAAAGCACUUUAAGCGAGGAGGAGGCUCUUUUGGUUAAUACCCAAGAUGAGUGGACGUUACUCGCAGAAUAAGCACCGGCUAACUCUGUGCCAGCCGCCGCAGUAA